AGAGUUUGAUCCUGGCUCAGGAUGAACGCUGGCGGCGUGCCUAAUACAUGCAAGUCGAGCGAACAGAUAAGGAGCUUGCUCCUUUGACGUUAGCGGCGGACGGGUGAGUAACACGUGGGUAACCUACCUAUAAGACUGGAAUAACUCCGGGAAACCGGGGCUAAUGCCGGAUAACAUUUAGAACCGCAUGGUUCUAAAGUGAAAGAUGGUUUUGCUAUCACUUAUAGAUGGACCCGCGCCGUAUUAGCUAGUUGGUAAGGUAACGGCUUACCAAGGCAACGAUACGUAGCCGACCUGAGAGGGUGAUCGGCCACACUGGAACUGAGACACGGUCCAGACUCCUACGGGAGGCAGCAGUAGGGAAUCUUCCGCAAUGGGCGAAAGCCUGACGGAGCAACGCCGCGUGAGUGAUGAAGGUCUUCGGAUCGUAAAACUCUGUUAUUAGGGAAGAACAAAUGUGUAAGUAACUAUGCACGUCUUGACGGACCUAAUCA
rnacentral:rRNA from 1 species